AGCUCCAAUAGCGUAUAUUAAAGUUGUUGCAGUUAAAAAGCUCGUAGUUGGAUUUCUGGCAGGAGCGGCCGGCCACGCGCUCUGCGCGUGAGUUUGUGCUGUCUCUGGCCAUCCUCGGGGAGAUCGCGUUUGGCAUUAAGUUGUCGGGCGUGGGAUACCCGUCGUUUACUGUGAAAAAAUUAGAGUGUUUAAAGCAGGCUUAUGCCGUUGAAUAUAUUAGCAUGGAAUAAUAAGAUAGGACUUCGGAACUAUUUUGUUGGUUUGCGUUACGAAGUAAUGAUUAAUAGGGACAGUUGGGGGUAUUCGUAUUUCGUUGUCAGAGGUGAAAUUCUUGGAUUUCCGAAAGACGAACUACUGCGAAAGCAUUUACCAAGGAUGUUUUCAUUA
rnacentral:rRNA from 2 species